UAGUGGCGAACGGGUGAGUAACACGUGGGCAAUCUGCCCUUCACUCUGGGACAAGCCCUGGAAACGGGGUCUAAUACCGGAUAUCACUUCUGCUCGCAUGGGUGGGGGUUGAAAGCUCCGGCGGUGAAGGAUGAGCCCGCGGCCUAUCAGCUUGUUGGUGAGGUAGUGGCUCACCAAGGCGACGACGGGUAGCCGGCCUGAGAGGGCGACCGGCCACACUGGGACUGAGACACGGCCCAGACUCCUACGGGAGGCAGCAGUGGGGAAUAUUGCACAAUGGGCGGAAGCCUGAUGCAGCGACGCCGCGUGAGGGAUGACGGCCUUCGGGUUGUAAACCUCUUUCAGCAGGGAAGAAGCGUAAGUGACGGUACCUGCAGAAGAAGCGCCGGCUAACUACGUGCCAGCAGCCGCGGUAAUACGUAGGGCGCAAGCGUUGUCCGGAAUUAUUGGGCGUAAAGAGCUCGUAGGCGGCUUGUCACGUCGGGUGUGAAAGCCCGGGGCUUAACCCCGGGUCUGCAUUCGAUACGGGCUGGCUGGAGUGUGGUAGGGGAGAUCGGAUUNCU
rnacentral:rRNA from 1 species